AGAGAAAAAGAGGAAAAGGGGAUAAAAGGUUCAUCUCAUGAGCUGUAUAUAUACAGGCGCACUUACCUCUUAUCCUCCUAUCUGUGUGCAACUCGUGUUUGAAAGAUGUCGCCGCUUACGUGGCGUGUGUCUUUAUCGUGUAGUGUUUUUUUGGCUGUCGCAAUUUCUGCGUCCGAGACCGGGAGCCGGAAUGACGACGAUUCCGGGUCCAUCUCCUUGGCCAUGAACCCGUCAACACCGGGCACCACCCCCGGCGGGGAAACGGACCAGGCCCUCCGCACGCGCGAUUGGGGCGACUGGGGCUUCCUGGCCGAGGCCCUGCAUUCCCUCGACAGUCUCGCGAUCAACAACCACGGCGAGAUCAACGGCGAUGGUAACGGAUCCAUCAUCUUCUCCGGUUCCCCGACCCGCAACGGACGGUCCUCCCCCGGGUCCCUCGACCUCGACGGCCUCGUUGUCAACAACAACGCCGAGUUCAACGGCGACGGUAACGGCUCAGUCAUUUUCACCGGUUCCCCGAGCCGCAACGGCCGGGCCUCUCCUGGGAGGCGCGGAUCUGGAGUCAUCAACAACUCCGGAACCUUCAACGGCAAUCAUAACGGCUCCGUCAUUCUCGGAGACUUUAACGUCAGCGAAACUAAGGUCAACCGCCAACCCACCCGCACGGACUCCUUCUCCAGAUCGCCCCGCAGGCGACGACGUGGCCCGUCAAGUACCUGGACCGUCUUUAAUAGCAAUAUUGACAAUAGCCCCGUGACACCCGAUGAUGAUAGCCAGGUAUGGGGAACGAUCAACUGGUCCGGCCCGUAUCUGGACGUCAACGGUAGUGGAGUCCGUGCCAAAGCUAUCGGUCCAGAAACUCAGAAAAUCUCGGUGAUCAACGGGAAGGAGGUGAGGAUAAACGGGAAGUCGGUCUGCCAGGACGUGAAGACCCUCAGCCAGGAGAGCACGUACCAGGUCAUGCCGGAUGGGUCUCUGUGGUACACGAACUUGAAGGUGGGACGGGCUAUGACUGAGGACGAGGAGGCGGAGUUCCAAGAGAAGGUCAAGGAGAAGGAGGAAGAAACGAAGGCUGCGCUUGAGGCCGCGGAGAAGAAGAGAGAGGAGGCGGCUAGACAGAGAGAGAUUGCACUUGCAGCUGCGGCAAAAGAGAGAGAGAUUGCGGCAAAAGAGAGAGAGAUUGCGGCGAGACAAAGGGAGGCUGCGGCGAGACAAAGGGCGGCUGCGGCAAGAGAGAGAGGCUGCGGCAAGAGAGAGAGAGGCUGCUUUUGCUGGAUGGAAUAGGCCGUGGAGCUCCAGGUCCAACAGCUGGAACAGUUGGUUUUGGUAGAUUUUUGCUCCAAGUCAAUCUUCAUCGAUCGCUGUUUGUUUCGUGGUUUCUGACUAUCACUCUAUUGAAGAGAAGUCAAAUGAGCAAUCCUGGGUAAAAAAGAAAGAAAAUAGAAUAAAUAUCUAAACACCUAAAGCAUAUGAAAUCAUAAUCUAUGGCCUCCUUAUUUUAAGUGUGUCCCAAAAGGUUUCCCUACUAAUAGGCUUUAUCAUAUUAGCACAUUCAGCAGAUAAUCCGUUUAUCACAUGACUUCAGAGUCGUCGAAAAAUGGCGUCAGGUAAUUUUUCCAAUCCUUUUUUAUGAUCUUUUGAUUUUGUUUGAAAUAUCGCAAAUUUUAAUGUCGAAUACAUUGGCGAGGCAUGAAUGAUCGGUUAACGAUAUCU
rnacentral:lncRNA from 1 species